rnacentral:rRNA from 1 species
UACGAAGGGGGCUAGCGUUGUUCGGAUUUACUGGGCGUAAAGCGCACGUAGGCGGAUCGUUAAGUCAGGGGUGAAAUCCUGGAGCUCAACUCCAGAACUGCCUUUGAUACUGGCGAUCUUGAGUCCGGAAGAGGUGAGUGGAACUCCUAGUGUAGAGGUGGAAUUCGUAGAUAUUAGGAAGAACACCAAUGGCGAAAGCAGCUUUCUGGGACGGUACUGACGCUGAGACGGCGAAAAGCGUGGGGAGCGAACGAGGAAUUGAGAUACCCGAC